CCCAAACCCCUGUGAACAUACCUAUUUGUUGCCUCGGCGGUGCCUGUUCCGACAGCCCGCCAGAGGACCCCAAACCCUGAUUACAUUUAAGAAGUCUUCUGAGUAAACCGAUUAAAUAAAUCAAAACUUUCAACAACGGAUCUCUUGGUUCUGGCAUCGAUGAAGAACGCAGCGAAAUGCGAUAAGUAAUGUGAAUUGCAGAAUUCAGUGAAUCAUCGAAUCUUUGAACGCACAUUGCGCCCGCUAGUAUUCUGGCGGGCAUGCCUGUCCGAGCGUCAUUUCAACCCUCAAGCCCCCGGGCUUGGUGUUGGGGAUCGGCGAGCCUCCGCGCCCGCCGUCCCCUAAAUCUAGUGGCGGUCUCGCUGUAGCUUCCUCUGCGUAGUAGCACACCUCGCACUGGGAAACAGCGCGGCCACGCCGUUAAACCCCCAACUUCUGAACGUUUGACCUCGGAUCAGGUAGGAAUACCCGCUGAACUUAAGCAUAUCAAUAAGGCGGAGGAA
rnacentral:rRNA from 1 species